GGCGUAGCAACAGCAGCAGCAGGUGGAGGUCGUGGGGCGGCCGCGCCAGGGAAAUCUCUUGGCUGGCUUGGCUUCCCUGCUUGAGAAAGACAAACCGGGUAGGGAGCCCUCACCAUUACUCAAAAGGUGUAUUUCCCACCAUGUGGCAGAUAAGGUACUACAGUACACGGUGUAUAUUGAAUUUUAGGGGGGGAAAGGAGAGUAGCCUGAGCAAGUGAUGCCCCCCUCCUUGCAGGGCCAGAUUUAAGUUUGAUGAGGCCCUAAGCUGCUGGUCAGAAGGUCAGUAGCCCUAAGCUACUUGCCUAUCAGAAGGUUGGCGGUUCGAAUCCCCGCGACGGGGUGAGCUCCUGUUGCUCGGUCUCUGCUCCUGCCAACCUAGCAGUUCAAAAGCACGUCAAAGUGCAAGUAGAUAAAUAGGUACCGCUCUGGCAGGAAGGUAAACGGCGUUUCCAUGCGCUGCUCUGGUUUGCCAGAAGCAGCUUAGUCAUGCUGGCCACAUGCUGGCCACGGAAGCUGUACACCGGCUCCCUCGGCCAGUAAAGCGAGAUGAGCGCUGCAACCCCAGAGUCGGCCACGACUGGACCUAACAGUCGGGGGUCCCUUUACCUUUACCUUAAGCUACUGAAGGUAACAGGGCCCUUUCUAUGUCUAGCUGUCCUUAGUCAACAACGAAUUGUCGCUGUUUUUUGUGCUGAAUAUUUUAGGGAGCAGGCAGGGCCCAUUACUUACACCAUAAGAGCCUACACAACAUGUAUGUAGAUUUUAUUUUAUUUGUUUUUUUAUCUUAUAUUUUGGAAAUGUACACCCAUUUUUUUCCUUUAAAUUUUUUUGGGGCCCAAGAGAGUGGGGCCCUAAGCUGUAGCUUGUUUAGUUUAUACAUAAAUCUGGCACUGCCUCAUUGUAUGAAGCCUCCCACAGAAGAAUUUGCUAAUCUAUCCAUUUUAUCCAUUUAGUACAUUUAUAGCCUGGCUUUCCUCCAAGGUGCCAGGGCUGUGUUAGCCAUUAAGCCAGUGGUUCCCCACCUUUUUGUGGCCAUGCCCCACCUAAGCAUCUCUAAAAUCCUGAUGCCCGCCCCGCCAUGACAUAUACUGUAAAUUUUAUUAUUCAAAAAGUGAAUUAUUCACGUGGAGGAAGCCUAAAAGGCCAUUAACUGUUAAUAACUCAAUUCUUAAAUUGCCCCCCUUAAAAAUCAAAUUGCUCCCCUGUGGUGCGUGUGCCCCACGUUGGGAACCACAGCAUUAAGCAAAAUAAUGACGCACGUGCUUAGGGCAUCAAGGGAAGGGGGAAAUUUCUGCUGGAAAAUUUCCAAAGACCAUAAGGUACAGCUGAACAGGUUCCACAUAAAAAGGCUCCCACAAUAUGUGCGUCAUAGGUUCAGUGCAGCAAAAAAUGCAAAAACAAGAUUCAUUCAUGCUGAACUUUAUAAAGUGAUUGCAGAAGACAGUAUUUUACGGUUUAUUAUUGUUUAUAUUUUGAAUUAGAUCUACAUGGGUGCACCAAAUUUUUUUAAGUGCUAUGGGCCUCUAAAGGUCUUAAUCCAGCCCUGUGAGUUGCUCAUAGAAUCAUAGAAUUUUAGAAUUGGAAGGGAUAGUGAGUAUCAUCUAUUUCAAUGCAGGAGUCCCAUGCGGGGACAGAACCUGCUCAAGGCAUGGCGCUGUGGUUCUGCCCCCUCCAUUUUAUACUCACAACAGCAGCCUUGUGUCUGCGGCAGGUCCAGUUGAGAAACAGUGGGUGCUUCAAGACUGUCCCUAUUUUCUGGGUGGAAUUCAAUCAGAUACCAGCAAAUUCAGGACACACAAAUUGGGUUGGGAGGAGGACUUGCACAACAAACCUGCUCGCUCCCCCCACCACCAAAAUUGGACUUUUUUUGCAAUGAAAGCAAUGGGAAAUUGCACUGGGAAAUGUGGAUUAGCACUUGCUUUGAUGCAACAUCAUCUAUUGACCCCGCAACCAAAUCAGCAUGAAUGGUCAUUAAACAGCCAACAUCAUCUAAUCUCUGCACACAAGGAUGAAUGCGCAGUAAGCAAGUUGUCUGAAAGCACUCAGUGACUGGCACAAGGACAAGCAGAGAAAAAUAUGAGAUAAAAUAAAGGGGGGAAGUACCAUUUCAUUUUCUUACUGAACUGUUAUUUUAACUUCAUAAUAAAGUCCUGGGAGAAUUUUCUUUUUCAAAGGACACCCAGAGAGCUUCAUGGCUGAGUGGGGAUUUUAUGCUGAGAAUUGCUCUUCUCUCUCAUCUAACACUCCAGCCUUGGGCAUGGAACCUGUGACCCUCCAGAUAUUUUAGAAUAUAAGUUUCAUCAUCCCUGACCAGGCAGACUUGGACUGAUGAGAGCUGGAGUCCCACAGCAAAGUUUCCCUUGGGCAGUAAAAUGUCUUGGGUCAGCCUUGACUUCUGAGAAACUAGUAAUGAGGUGCAAGGACCAAUAACAGUCUGUGCUGUCAGUAUAAGGCAGCUUCCUACAUUCCUAGGCUCAUUUAGAUUAUAUAGAGAUAGUAAGGUUAUCACCUUUUGUUCCUGGGUCUUUAAAAGCUGCAUGACGGAAAUUCAGCAAGGGAACAAAAAGAGAGAGUUGAGACUCUGGUACACAGGGAGGUGGUUUACUAUGCCCAACACAUCUUGAGAAAGGACUUCUUCAGGGGAAGCAUGAGACAAAAUUGUAGACAGACGUGACACCAGUGUACUUUCUGUAUCCUGUUUUCAGCUGGAUAUUGAUUCUUCUUCUGUCUACCAUUUUGUUUCACGAUGUGCCCCUGAAGACUUUUGUCAACAUGCAUUUGGCCUAAUAAACCACUUCCCUGCAUACAUGUCUGUUGUUUUAACUCUUUUUCUGAAUUGACGUUCUUCCACCAUUUAUUCUUCUGUCUGCUGUCCUGAACAUGCCGUUGUCGUCCUGAGCAUCCAUAGUGGAUGAAGUGACCAUUUUACCGUAUUUUUCGGUCUAUAAGAUGCACCAGACCAUAAGACGCACCUAGUUUUUGGAGGAGGAAAACAAGAAAAAAAAUAUUCUGAAUCCCAGAAGCCAGGACAGCAAGCAGGAUCGCAGCUCAGCGAUCCCACUUGCUGUCCUGGCUUAUGGGAUAGCCGUGCGCAGCCUCUCCUGGGCAGCGGCAUGAAGGCCCCCAAGAGCCGCACACACGCUCCACGCAGCUCUUUAAAGGGAGCGCUGAGCAGAGCCUCCCGCCUGUAUCCGCUCCAUAAGACGCACACACAUUUCCCCUUAAUUUUUGGGAGGGGAAAAGUGCAUCUUAUAGAGCGAAAAAUACGGUAAUUUCUGUGUAAGGUGGCUGUUAAAGGCCUGUAAAACACAACCAUUGAACCCCUCACCAGCUGCAGUACAUGUCCAUCAUAUUUGUUAAAUGAAACAUGGAUUGUGGUUGCAGGAGUGGCAUCCCUGAGACUUUGUGAAUAUAGCUUGCACCAUUGUUUGUGAUGAGGAUGCGAGACUCUUCCCCCCUUGCUUAACCACAUUCCAUUAUUUGUCCAAGCAGGCUGUGCAGUUUUGUGGUGUAUAUAUAUAUAUAGAGAGAGAGAGAGAGAGUUGUUGGACAUUGUACACACCCUCAUUGUCUGUCCGGGUUUGAUCUCUAUUUGAUGCACGGUGGGGUACAAUGCCAAUCACACAGGCAUUGUUAGGACAUGGGUUUUUUUUGUUCUCACCUUGUAAGUAUUGAAAAUUUCCUUCCUCUAAAAUUCUGUAUUUCUUUCUGAAUUUUAAACUACAUUCAGCCUGGUAGCAUCAGAGAUGUCUCCUUCUUCUUUACUUGUUAGGCUAUGUGCACAUUAGCGGUUUGAAACACAGCAAGGUCAUUUCCCUCCACUCAAGUUUCAAGUGGCAUUUGCAUGUUGCUGUACACACCAGAGGGGUUGGGAAUGUCUUCGCCUGGUGCAUAUUACCCAUUUGCUUUCCCCAAUCCUGAACCCACCCCCAAAGCAACUUUUGUUCAUGCAGCUGUGAUCCGCACAUGCGCAGUGGCUACCUCAAAUAUACACACCUCAGCCAAACUGCAGUGAAUGUGGCUGACAUUUUCAAAUCAGAUGGAAGCUGGUUUGAGGAGGGACACAUCAAACAGCACUGUGUCUCAAGAAACUAUGCAUUGUGGCUAACCCAGAGGUGGAUAUAGGGCUGGGUGACUGGUGCACCUGCACUCAGCUGAGGCAGCACCAUCUCAAAGCCCAGGAAGUGCAGAGCUUUGGGAAGGAGGUGUAAGGGCUCUGACAGGGUCCUAGAGGUCUUCUGCCUCCUUUCCAAAGCCUAGUUAGUGAUUUUCCAGCUUUGGGAAUGGGGUGGGAGGGCUCUAGCAUCCUGCCAGAGCCCUUCUACCUCCUUCCCUGCCAUUGGGAAGGCAGCACAAGGGCUGGGGGGGGAGUUGCCUCUCACAGAGCAUCAUAGUACCCAACUCUGCCACAUGGCUUCAGACCCCUUCAGUGGGAGCACACUGGAACCAGAGUAAAUAGCAGCGCAUAGACAACCGUAGUUAAUUCCUCAGCUUAGGUCUGUGUAUAUUCUGCAGUUCCAUGUCGUCAUAAGAAAUGCGGAAUGCAGCAUUGGGCACAAAACUCAAGAGGCUCAGCAGGUAGGCUUCCAAGUUUAUGAGGAAUUCCUGGUGAAACUGCCAUAAUUAGAGAGAGGCUUAGCAGGAUUUCUAACUUCCAAGGUCCAAUUGGACCAGAUAGUGCAGCUAUCUGAAUGAAAAAAGCUACAUUGCAUUAUUUUUUAUGGUGCUUUACACUUUAUCGUUGAACACCAACCACCCUGAUAUUUUAUUAUGUGGUGGUACAGAAAUACCUUAUAAACAAACGAUGUAAAUUAAGGCUAGACUAGAAGGCGCUUGUGGUCCCUUCCAAUGCUAUGAUCCCUUCCCAUUCUAUGAUUCUAUAUGAGAAAUAUGCAUAAUUUGUUUUGGUUUUUGAAUGAAACUUUCUUGGUGCAGAAUUUCAGGUAGAUUUUGUUACUCUUGUUUUUUUGCUGCAGUGUACCACUGUAACGGAGUUAGUGUGUUGUGCUCCAAUUACAAUGACAUCCUUCAGACUGAUGCAGCUCUCUAUUUUUGAACAGAGUUCUUAAAUUAUCAUUGUUCAGCCGGUUUAAUUUGAGUUGGCUACAUUUCCCCAUCCCUUUAGUACAUGGAAGAAAUGCCCAGCAGGUUGUAAAAUGAGACCGAUAGACCAAUGCUAGUUUAUUUUCAGCGCAGCUUUCGAUUAUCUGAAACCAUUUCACAAUUUGUGGAGAGUGGGCAAGGAGGCAGGAAACAGAACCUCUCACUGCCUCUGAGUGUGUAGACAAAGGGCUGUUUUACAAAUAACAAGGAUUAAUCCAGAAUAUCACGGAGAAGAGCUUCCAAAUUAUGCAUGCAGUUGUGGGCUGGUGUGCCCAAUGGCACUGUUAGGGCAGAAAGUUGGAAGACCAACAGCGGGUGGAGCCAGAGCCAAUGACAAGCAGCCCCCCAUUGGUUGUAAGUAAGAUGGCAGGCUGGCUGAAUCCAGACUGAGGUUGGUGGGGCAGUGCCCCACUUGCCCCCAGUGGACCGGCCUCCACUAUAUGCAAAUAAAACUUCCAGGUAUAGUUUAACUCUAGCAUAUCUCUUAAAAAUUAUGCACCGUGGUCAAAGGACUGGACGACUAGUAAAGCAAGCAUAAUUGGUGUAAGUGCACAUACUAGUAAGUGGGUCAAGCUCUCUUGCACCUGGGCUAAUAUGAGCCUUAGAAAAAUAUAUUUAUUUAAAGAUGUAUCCCACUAAAAAAGGUUCCCAAAGUGGCUUACAGAUACAUAUUUUAAAAAAGAGCCUACCCUCAGGGCUACAGUGUUAGACGGCAAAGGAAAAUGGAUUGGGAGGAAGGAGGAAAUAAGCAAACUCAGGCACAAGUUUUUACUUAGGAAUGAAAUGUACGUUAGUAAGACACGAGACAGAAGAGAACCGCUGAGCAAGCAGGAUAACACCCAGAAAAGAAAAUGCUGACUGUUACACACAAGCAGCAGUGAGGGGAGCUGCAGCAGAUUUUUCACAAGCUCUCUGUAAAAAACAAGACAUUCAUAGACAAGGAGAACACCUUAAUGCAAGGUGGUCUUGAUUUGAUAUUGUGAAUGCGAGAACACAAAUGUCCCGUUUCUUGGUGUUUACUGUUGUAACAGAAAACAAUAAAAAAUACUUUUUUAAAUGAAAGUGAGGCUGAUACAUCAACAUAAUUCUGUUUGUAAGGUGGGCACCCUGCCUUACCAUACUAGGUACCAAACCAGAGGAAAGGACAGGGAUAGAUGGAGGAACUCCUGUUAUAUGCAACAAAUCUCUUAUUUAAAAAGACCUGCCCCCGCAGCAGCAUGGACUCACAUGCUGCCAGAGAAGGUUUGCAGAUGGCUGAUGUAAGGUUACAUGUUCUCUCGCUUCCUUGACUAGGAGUUUAGUAAGAAGGGGGUUGUGCAUGGAGAAUUGCAUGUCCUUGCGCGGACGUCUGAACCCAAUUUCUCCCUCGUGCAAAAGAUUAUUUAAGGUAGAAAGGGCAACACCACCUUGAAUGGUGAAGGAUUGAGAGUUGAAUCAGAAGCCUCACUGAAUGCACAGCAACUGAAGAUGCAUCUCAUUAGUUACAGCAUGGUGCUGAUAAUGCAAAGAUUGAGAGUUCGAUCUCUAUAUGGGGCAGCUGCAUAUUCCUGCCUUGCAGGGGGCUGGACUAGAUGAUCCUCAGGGUCCCUUCCAACUCUAAAAUUCUAUGUUUCCAUCAUUCAUCUUAAUGUGCAUUCAUUGCUUUUGCAAUGCGAUGUGCCAAUAAACAGCAUCUACACUGGGGUGCAAGCCAAGAACCCAUAUACUGUAUGUGACUGCAGAGAUGAUGGGAAAUGAAUAGGACAUAUUUUUUUUAAAAGCUGCAAAGCAAAUUAUGGUUUGUUUGCUGGACCUCCAAGUAGAAUUCAAAACUAUUAUCUUUAAAAAUGUGUCUUAGUUCUUCAAACGUCCCCCUUUGUUGUUUCUUUCCCCUCUCCUGUCGGCCGUAAAACCUGAAAAUCUCCCCACCUUUACAUUGUAAGUCCAUCCUCUCCUGCUUCAAAAUCCUUAGUUAUAAUUGGAGAAAGAAGUAUUUCUGAAGAGAAACACUGUUAGUCACUUCUGUUUAUUAGCAGGAUUUAUAUACUGGAUUUAAAGCACUCUGGGUUGGAUCCAGAGGAGCUUUUCUAUAUGUCAGUGUCUUUGAAUCACAAAGGGACUUAAGUUUUUUUAAACCUUUUUUAAAAAAAAUUUAAGUGUUGUAUGACGAAAGGGAAACUAAGGCUGUGUACACACACAUUUCCCUCAAUGAAUUCUGGGCAUUGUAGUUUACGCCUCACAGAAUUGCAAUCUCCCUGCAAACAACGAUCAGAAUUUUUAGAGGCAAAGAAUGCACCUUAAAUACAUGGUGUGCACAGCCUAAAUCCAAAAUAUAUGAUUGCAUUUCUCAAAAAGCAUGUGCAAGGGGAAGCAUGAGAGCUGCCAGAGCUUGCCUACUCCAACAUUGCAUGAACUGUUCUACUAUUGCUUACACCCGGGUUUCCCAAACUUGGGUCUCCAGCUGUUUUUGGACUACAAUUCCCAUCAACCCUGACCACUGGUUCUGCUAGCUAGGGAUGAUGGGAGCUGUAGUCCAAAAACAGCUGGAGACCCAUGUUUGGGAAACCUUGGCUUACACAAGCAUUUGUAGAAUACUAUCGCUGGCUAUUUUCCAUAUACUCCAUUCUUUGGAUCGAGCAAUCGUCCCUGCAAAUUAUGCACGUAUCUGAACUCCCUGCCAAACCACAUCCAUUGGCCUCAAAGUCUGAUUUCUACUUGCAACAAGCAAGGCUACAUAAUCCUUUCUCAGCUCAGCAUUCUCACACCUUGGCGAAGGAAGGAAACAAAGGAGAAAGGAAAACCACAAAGAUACCCAUUGCAUAGGGCGAACUGCCCAUGUCAUACAAUAGUGCAGGAAUAUGAAAUGAACUCAGCUCAGACAGAUUCAAAAUUGAGCAAGUUUCAUGUGUAGGUAGAUCUUGUCAAUGAGUUUCUGACUUCCUGACAGCUCGGGAUAGUUCUGCGCUAUAAAUUAAAAAGCACAUCUCAAGUGUAGAAGCAUACAGGUGACAAAGCAGCAGUUUUUUUAAAAUCCCCAAGUAUACCUAUAUGGAAAUUUCUGGGAUAGCACCACCCAGUGGCAGAUAGACUCUCGCACAAAGCACAGCGUGUCAACCCUGGGACCUUCAAAUUUGUACUACAUUGUGUGUUUGUUCAUGUGACUAAUUCCAAGGAAUUAUUCUGAAGGCUUGAUCAGCACCCUUGUUCCUUGACAUACAAUUGACUUACAAGAAUACUCCUGUGAGUCAGCUACUCUUAAGCCGGGAAACGAUCUCAUAUCCAUGGUUUACCCGAGCCCUGCAAACUGAUCUAGAAAACAUUGAAGGUUCACCAGAAAAGCAGCCUUAUUUUAUUUGCAGGGCACCGGGAAGGGGGGUGGGUACAGACCCAGAGAGGCAUUCACCUCUAACUGGGAUUGGCUUUUACAGCAGCACAAGCCAAAAACCCAGGGUUUAACUGCAACCAUUCUACUCCCUACAGUUCUCUAACGGUAGCCUGUGCCCAAAUGGAAUCCUGAUCCUGAGCUUGCUCUGAACAGUAAUUGUACUCAUUCAGAUGUCAAUAUAUGCACAGGGGGAAAAGACGCAGGAUAGAACCCUACAGCAAAAUGGACCAAACUUGAAGUUAUAAGGUACAUGUUCCAACAGGUUGUAUAGAAGAUAAAGUGUUGCAAAAACUUUUUUCUUCUUUGGUGAUCACUCACCACUACAGGAUGAAUGGUAUAUUACAGUACAGUGGAACCUCAAAUCCUUUCCCUUACAGUUGAUUUUAAUCUCGAAGGUCAUUUUGAGAUGCUCCCAGUCUCCAGUUCAAAAUAUUUAUAUUUUAUGUGCACUUACCUGGGAGUUAAGUCCAUUUGAACUCAAUGGGGAUUGCUUCCUCACAAACGUGGUCUGCAUUGAUAGCAUUGUUAGCCAUUGUUGAAGGAUAAAAUGUCCAUGCCUACUGCCUAGAAUUCUAAGAGCAUGCACUUAUCCUGUGUAUUUUAAUUACGGACAUUUAUACUGUAAUGUUUGUGUAAAUGGUUUUUAUCCCUGUAAACACUUAGAAGUCCAUUUUAGGUUUCAGUGUUAUAUAAUUUCUUCUCAAUCUGCUAACUACAUACUGUGCUGCUGAAAUGAGCAGCCCUUUUGUAUUUUAUCAUUCCUCACCACGCCCAACACACAUGCUCCAUCCGUCACUGGGCUCUUUUUUUGGCAGGGUCCCCUAUUAAUCUGAAAGCCUUGGGGCCUCCCUCUCAAACCUAUCUUAGGCAUGGAUGGUGUCACACUAUUUUAGCAAUGGAACUCACUUCUGAUCAUUGAAAAUUGAGGUGGUGGGUAAGAAAAACCAUCCGGGCAUGCGGUAGCAACUAAAGUAAUGUCUGCAGAGGUUAGUCACGUGCAGGACUGCACUUUUAUGUCAAUGGUGACCAUUUAGAGCACUGGUGGGGAAACUCGGGCCUGGAAGCCAAAUGAAUCCUGUCUCUCUCUCUCCCCCCAUGGAAAUCCUUUGAGUCACACUCCUUCAGGAACAGCACAUAAUAGGGUCACCAAACAUCACUCCUUCCUCAUCCUCCGUUAUCAGGGUUGGGUUUUUUAAAACGACUAACAGAUAGCACUAGUUUCAGGUAUCAAAAUAUCUUAUCUGUACCAAUGAACUUUCCUGUAAGCUCCUCCCCUUUCUUGUUCAAUAGGUACUCUCACCUCCAACACACUCAACCCCAGGCUUGCAGAAUAAGGUACAGUAAGCCCCCAAGUUAUGCGAGGGUUAUGUUGCAGGGAUCACACCUAAAGCCAAAAUUGCACAUGGUCAAAACACGCUGGCAGUCCCACCCGCCAUUGAAAUCAAGGUUCCCCCCAAACACCCUUUUUAUUUUUUGGCAAGCGUAUAAAGCUGAAUGUGCGCAAGUUACAGGCUUAUUGUAUUACACUUGCUCUCAGGUCCAGCUGUCCAACAUCCGCAACUUCUUUGAAACCCAAUCAGAGGUCCUUCUUUCUUGGGGAGACUCAUUUAUUCCUGUUUUCUCACCUCAAAAUCUCAGACCUCCCUAACCUCAUUACUUUCAACCAUUGCCCCAAAGUUUCCGCCUUUGAUUUUCAGCUAAAAACUUCCCCCAAAGCCCACUAACCAGAACUUACUUACUUUACAAGAGUUGGGUUGCAACUCAGCUUGCAUUGUAGAGAUAUACUUGCAAGCAAGGGGAAGAGAAACCGCCAAGCUUCCUAGCAGUGAUUCAGAGUUGUCAGCAUUUUAACUCCAUAUGCCAAUGCAUGGCCAAACUUGCCCCCCCAGCUGUUUUGGGACUACAGCAGGACCAAUGGUCAGGGAUGAUGGGAAUUGUAGUCCCAAAACGCCUGGAGAGCCAAGUAUGGCCAUGUAUGCCAUAUGCCAACACCUUACUCCUCAAAUUCCUUUUAAAAACAACCAGUUCUUAUCAGCAUCCAUUUUUCUCUUGGAAUACCACUUCCUGCCCUUCAGCCAAACCUCCUUCCACCCCUUUCCCUGACAACAUUCUGUUUUUUCCCAUGUGUUCCUAGGAAUGCUUCUAACAAUUACCUGUAUUGGUUUUAACUCUUAAGAUCAGACUAUAUAUUUAGUGUGCUGUUUUAUUGCUUAAUAUUUUUUUUAGUAAAUGUGCUACUUCCCUUUUGAGACAACAAGCUUAAUUCCCUUCUCAUUUCUGCUGCCUGUUAAUUCUAUAGGUGAUGAACACUGGAGGAUGUCGUUCUCUAUCAAAAGAUCCCUAGAACUGAGUGUCAGGAUUGCAUGUGGGUCCUGAAGCGUACAUGUUAACCUCAUACCUAAUAGUAAUAUAUGACAGCUGGACCAUGUUGAUUUGCAACAAAACGCAAGCACGGUUCCAUUCACUCCAUUACUGAUUGUUAACAUAUCUUGUCCACCUACUCCCCAAAUCUACUCUGCUCCUUUUUGUUGGGCCUUUGAAUGUACCAUUAAAAUUAUGUAUUUUGA